GAGGAAGGUAGAAUUUCCCAUGUGUAGCGGUGAAAUGCGUAGAGAUGUGGAGGAAUACCGGUGGCGAAGGCGGCCUUCUGGACAAAUACUGACGCUGAGAUGCGAAAGCGUGGGGAGCAAACAGGAUUAGAUACCCUGGUAGUCCACGCUGUAAACGAUGUCGAUUUGGAGUUUGGUGGCAUGACUGCUGGGCUCCGAAGCUAACGCGUUAAAUCGACCGCCUGGGGAGUACGGCCGCAAGGUUAAAACUCAAAUGAAUUGACGGGGGCCCGCACAAGCGGUGGAGCAUGUGGUUUAAUUCGAUGCAACGCGAAGAACCUUACCUGGUCUUGACAUCCACAGAAUUUUGUAGAGAUACGAAAGUGCCUUAGGGAGCUGUGAGACAGGUGCUGCAUGGCUGUCGUCAGCUCGUGUUGUGAAAUGUUGGGUUAAGUCCCGCAACGAGCGCAACCCUUAUCCUUUGUUGCCAUCGGUUAGGCCGGGAACUCAAAGGAGACUGCCGUUGAUAAAGCGGAGGAAGGUGGGGACGACGUCAAGUCAUCAUGGCCCUUACGACCAGGGCUACACACGUGCUACAAUGGCGCAUACAAAGAGAAGCAAACCAGCGAUGGCAAGCGGACCUCAUAAAGUGCGUCUAAGCUCGGAUUGGAGUCUGCAACUCGACUCCAUGAAGUCGGAAUCGCUAGUAAUCGUGAAUCAGAAUGUCACGAUGAAUACGUUCCCGGGCCUUGUACACACCGCCC
rnacentral:rRNA from 1 species